AAAUUAAAAUCUAUUUAAAUUACAUGUUGUAAUGCAACAAAAUAGGAAAAAUGCCAAGGGGGAUGAGGGGGAUGAAUACUUUUGCAAGAACCUGUACUUCUCCAUAGUCAGUUGAACUUGUUGUUUUUAUGUUUCUGUGUCCAGUAUGAAGGAAGUUAGAGGAAGUUUCGCGAGCCAAUGCUAACUAGCAUUAGCACAAUGACUGGAAGUCUAUGGGUAUCUGCUAGCAUGCCUGCAGUAGAGAAAGGACAUCAUUGCAAAAAUCCCGAAGUAUCCCUUUAAGCCCUUAUUCAUCUGACUGUAACAGAACUUUAUUGCAGAAAUCUCUCACUGUCCCUUUAAACGUUGAUCUGUACUGAUGAAGAGUGAAUCUCUCACUGUCCCUUUAAACUUGAUCUGUACUGAUGAAGAGUGAAUCUCUCACUGUCCCUUUAAACUUUGAUCUGUACUGAUGAAGAGUGAAUCUCUCACUGUCCCUUUAAACUUGACCUGUACUGAUGAAGAGUGAAUCUCUCACUGUCCCUUUAAACUUGACCUGUACUGAUGAAGAGUGAAUCUCUCACUGUCCCUUUAAACUUGACCUGUACUGAUGAAGAGUGAAUUGGAAAGAGAUGGUCUCCUGACUACCAUGUUCUGUGUCCCUCAGAUCCAGUGCUGAAUGAACAGACCAUCUCCAACACAGACACCAAGGCAAUAAGUGGAUCCAAUGCAACAUGAUGGACAGAGAGGAGGAAAACCUUUGUUACCUCAACUUGUGACCCUUUCGUGGCAGAAACGAUCUGCCUCCAAGUCUACAGCCAUACUGGAGCAAGAAGUCAACUUGCAACACACACAACACUCUUGGAUUAAACCUAAAUCUUUCACAACGUGGGUUCUAGCGUUGCUUGGCCCCAGUCACACACAACGUCUCGGAUCCAAGCUAUGAGGUGUGAUAUUGCCUCCUAGAACUGCCCCCCCCCGAAAUCCCUGCCCGCUCCCCACCCCACCCAGCUCAACUCCCCUGUUUUCAAAUAAGCUGAUGUCAGAUGUGAUACAGAGACUGACUCCAGGUCAGUUUGGCACUGGUGUUGUGCUGUGAGAUGUGUGUUGGUCAGUAUGGAGCUGCACUGGCCUGGGGUCAGAUCUAUAAUAGCACUGAGUGGCAUGGAGGCUCUUUUCUGCUAUGGAUAGAACAAAUACUAUAUUAAAGAGAAUAAACCAUUUUUAUUUAAA